UUGACUGUCGUAUAUCUUUCUCGUUCGCCUCUUGUAUGGUUGCUUUACGUUAAAAGGAAUAAGAUCUGCAAAUGAACAAAAGAUGGACAACUGUAACAAUCCUUAAUUUCCAGCCUUGGUAGAUAUGUCACACAUCUAUGAAAUUUUCUAUAUUAUUUUUUGUCCUGGCUUGAACAAAGUUCUUAAAAUAUGUAUAGAAGAUGGAAUACAGCUAUGAUUUGUAGUUGAUCUACAUACGCGGUGAUGGACGAAUCUUGCUGUUGCAUAAACGUCUUCAUCACAAUGUCAGGAAGCUACAUACGUAUAUUUUUAAUUUUCUCAUCGUGUUUAUACAGAAUAAAUAUUGCAGUUAUUUCUAUCUCUUAACCUGAUUUUUUACCAAAUAUGUGAACUGGACGGUACCUACUUCAAAGUGUGUGCUGUAAUCUGAGGCUUGGAUGCCAUAUAUACAUAGGCAUAGGAAUAUCGAUAUUUGUGGGGGUGCUGGAGGAGAAACUAAAAUUCAUAUUUGCAAUAUAUAUAGUGUUGAGUUCUUAUUAUGAAAUCUACUGUUUUCAGUGAAUUACAACAUGCAUUCAAUCAUUCUCCUACGCCUAUGCAUGUAUAUAUGUGAAUAUAAUGAAUGGAACAAAAGGCCAAUACAAAAAUAAGGAUAUGAAAAGAUAAUGCCAAUAUUGACAGUGUUGUUUUGUGUUAAGUUUGCAAGGUCUUAGUCUAACGUAUAUUUAGUGCUCCAGGUUGUUGAAUCCGAGUAAUUUUUAUAAAACAUGUCCCACGAUAUUUUUGCCAGUGUUUGUUUGAGUCAAAUAUAGAAAAGAAUGCAGAGAAGUAAGUUUCUUUUGAGUAAAUCGACAUAGCUGCGAAAGAAAUAACUGGGUUAUUGACGAGCUUCAUCGAUCUCUAAGAAUGAGUAUGAAUGAACUUUUUAUGAAGAUUUCAAUCAGUGGCAGAUAUAAUAUCCACCAAAAUAGAUAAUGUUGUAGAUGAAAGAGUUAAUUUACUCACCAAAAACGACAAAGGAUGGAAUAGGGAUUGAGAUUAAGAAUGAACUAAAUUUU